rnacentral:rRNA from 1 species
GACGAACGCUGGCGGCGUGCCUAAUACAUGCAAGUAGAACGCUGAAGAGAGGAGCUUGCUCUUCUUGGAUGAGUUGCGAACGGGUGAGUAACGCGUAGGUAACCUGCCUUGUAGCGGGGGAUAACUAUUGGAAACGAUAGCUAAUACCGCAUAACAAUGGAUGACACAUGUCAUUUAUUUGAAAGGGGCAAUUGCUCCACUACAAGAUGGACCUGCGUUGUAUUAGCUAGUAGGUGAGGUAAUGGCUCACCUAGGCGACGAUACAUAGCCGACCUGAGAGGGUGAUCGGCCACACUGGGACUGAGACACGGCCCAGACUCCUACGGGAGGCAGCAGUAGGGAAUCUUCGGCAAUGGGGGCAACCCUGACCGAGCAACGCCGCGUGAGUGAAGAAGGUUUUCGGAUCGUAAAGCUCUGUUGUAAGUCAAAAACGGGUGUGAGAGUGGAAAGUUCACACUGUGACGGUAGCUUACCAGAAAGGGACGGCUAACUACGUGCCAGCAGCCGCGGUAAUACGUAGGUCCCGAGCGUUGUCCGGAUUUAUUGGGCGUAAAGCGAGCGCAGGCGGUUUGAUAAGUCUGAAGUUAAAGGCUGUGGCUCAACCAUAGUUCGCUUUGGAAACUGUCAAGCUUGAGUGCAGAAGGGGAGAGUGGAAUUCCAUGUGUAGCGGUGAAAUGCGUAGAUAUAUGGAGGAACACCGGUGGCGAAAGCGGCUCUCUGGUCUGUAACUGACGCUGAGGCUCGAAAGCGUGGGGAGCGAACAGGAUUAGAUACCCUGGUAGUCCACGCCGUAAACGAUGAGUGCUAGGUGUUGGAUCCUUUCCGGGAUUCAGUGCCGCAGCUAACGCAUUAAGCACUCCGCCUGGGGAGUACGACCGCAAGGUUGAAACUCAAAGGAAUUGACGGGGGCCCGCACAAGCGGUGGAGCAUGUGGUUUAAUUCGAAGCAACGCGAAGAACCUUACCAGGUCUUGACAUCCCGAUGCUAUUUCUAGAGAUAGAAAGUUACUUCGGUACAUCGGUGACAGGUGGUGCAUGGUUGUCGUCAGCUCGUGUCGUGAGAUGUUGGGUUAAGUCCCGCAACGAGCGCAACCCCUAUUGUUAGUUGCCAUCAUUCAGUUGGGCACUCUAGCGAGACUGCCGGUAAUAAACCGGAGGAAGGUGGGGAUGACGUCAAAUCAUCAUGCCCCUUAUGACCUGGGCUACACACGUGCUACAAUGGUUGGUACAACGAGUUGCGAGUCGGUGACGGCGAGCUAAUCUCUUAAAGCCAAUCUCAGUUCGGAUUGUAGGCUGCAACUCGCCUACAUGAAGUCGGAAUCGCUAGUAAUCGCGGAUCAGCACGCCGCGGUGAAUACGUUCCCGGGCCU